rnacentral:misc_RNA from 1 species
GAAAUGCGAUAAGUAAUGUGAAUUGCAGAAUUCAGUGAAUCAUCGAAUCUUUGAACGCACCUUGCGCUCCUUGGUAUUCCUUGGAGCAUGCCUGUUUGAGUAUCAUGAAAUCUUCAAAGUAAAUCUUUUGUUAACUCAAUUGGUUUCUACUUUGGUAUUGGAGGUCUUUGCAGCUUCACACCUGCUCCUCUUUGUUCAUUAGCUGGAUCUCAGUGUUAUGCUUGGUUCCACUCGGCGUGAUAAGUUAUCUAUCGCUGAGGACACUGUAAAAGGUGGCCAAGGUAAAUUCAGAUGAACCGCUUCUAAUAGUCCAUUGACUUGGACAAUACUUUUAUGAUCUGAUCUCAAAUCAGGUAGGACUACCCGCUGAACUUAAGA